UAUUAGUCUUUUCAGAAAUCAGACGGGCUGUCGAUCGAAUACUGAAUUUUGAGUGUAAUUUUUAAAAUCAAUCGAAUAUUAGUGAAUUUAUAAUCAUCCUUGUAAAGGACGUAAUCUUUUCAUUAAAAUUUUAAUAGAAAAUAGAUUAUUACAACAAAUAUUGUGAACGUCGAUCAGCCAGCUUUCACGAAACUUUUUCUAAUUGGAUUGUUUUAUGAGAAAAUUCGUCCAAGCAUAGAAGAAGGGAUUUGUUUUCAAAUCGCACACGAGGUUUAGAUGUUUACCUUUCUCCGUAUUGAAGGUGUUCUAUGUUUUCGCUUAGAUAGUACAUCGAAUCGAUAUUGAAGAAGAAACACAUUUUCGUCAAAUGAUAAUGCACAUUUUGUGCAUCUAUUGACAAACGAAGUUGUAAUGGGUUCAACUUGCUGAUACACGCUUUUCUGUUUCGACUGUUUCAUAAAAUUAAGCAGUUAAGAUGGGAAAGUUUUCUGGGAAGAAGUGUCGACUUUUGUCGAUGUUGUGGCUGACUGGGACAUUCUUUUUUGUGGAACUUAUUGUUGGUUAUGUGACUAACUCUAUGGCCCUUGUUGCGGACUCGUUUCACAUGUUGAGUGAUGUAGCUGCACUUGUGAUAGCAUUCUUAUCAGUUAAGAUGUCACCAAAGAAAUGGUCAAAGAACACAUUCGGCUGGGCGCGCGCCGAAGUACUAGGCGCCCUCGUGAACGCAGUCUUCCUAGUAGCUUUAUGCUUCAGUAUAACAGUGGAAGCUGUGCAGAGGUUCAUUAAGAUCGAGAUCAUACACAACGCCAAGUUAUUAGUAGCUGUGGGCACGCUUGGAUUGGUACUAAACAUCGUCGGACUGUUCUUGUUCCAUGAACAUGGUAGCAGUCACGGACACACCCACGGCGGGGUGCCGCCGCCGGCCAACGUGCGCCAUCUCACCGAGCUGGUCAACAGCAACGCGGACAUGGCGCUAGGGCACGCGACCCCCGAGGAGGAGGAAACCGAUGAGAUGGUGCCGCCCAAGAUAGACAAGUUACCCAGCAAGCAAACCCCGCGCGCCAACGCUGACCCUGGAAAUCUGAACAUGAAGGGUGUCUUCCUUCAUGUAUUGUCUGAUGCUCUGGGUUCGCUAAUAGUGGUCUGUUCAGCGCUAGUCGUAUGGCUGACAGAUUGGGAAUACAAAUACUAUAUCGACCCCGCGCUCAGUAUAGUUCUAGUCAUCCUCAUCCUCGCAUCAGUGUGGCCUCUACUGAGGGAGUCUGCCCUCAUCCUGUUGCAGACUGUUCCUACGCAUAUACAGGUGGACGCGAUACAAAGGCGUCUUUUAGAGAAGGUGGAUGGAGUGCUUGCGGUGCACGAAUUCCACGUUUGGCAGCUAGCGGGUGACAGGAUCAUCGCUAGCGCGCAUAUAAGGUGUAGAAAUUUAUCGGAAUACAUGAAGAUAGCGGAAAAGGUUAAAGAAUUCUUCCACAACGAGGGAAUUCAUUCGACAACUAUACAACCUGAGUUUGUGGAGUUGCCUUUAGAUGGAAAUGAGAUAAUAAGUGGUGCGUCGGCCGAGGCGCCGUGCGCGCUGCACUGUCCGCCCAACGACCUCUGCCACAACGCCACGUGCUGCGGGCCCAAUCAACAAAAGCAAAACACGCCGUCCCCUGCGGUCACUCCGUACAUGUGCAGGCAGCGAAAUAUGGGCUCGCGGACGGAAUCUAUGCAUUCCAACCUGAAUGCAAGUAGUCAAGGGAACCCUACUGCGAGGAAUUUGGACGCUUUGGAGUGCGGAUCACUCCUGCCCUCUCCGAUGAUGGAUUCGCGGCUGACGGUGUGACAGGCGGCCGCGUAGCCGCACACUACACAGAGCUGUGAAAUCGUCGCUACACAAAUCACACACUAUCACCACAUUUGCCAUGCAAUGGCAUGGCAUGCAGUGACGUGGCGUUUCUUUCAUCUGAGUGAGAAAUAUGAAACUCAUCGUGAUAUAUUAUAAUGGACACUGUUGAAUGAAAGUUUAAAAAAAUUGUGAUGAAGAUUUCUAGUUUUAAGUAGUUGCCAAGGAUGGCUAGCGUUAUUGUAGGAUUGUAAGUAUUUGCGGGUAACUUUGCAAUAUUGUAUAAGUUAGGGCUGCCACGGAUGUAAUUUUUUUGACUCUUACCACAGCCAAAUACCUAGAUAAUAGAAUGAACUAGACAGGUUUGUUAUUUACUCACAAAAUGUAAUAUGUAAUAAAUAUCAGUCAUUUUACAGAAUCGGGACUAAAUACUAAGCUGGAGUUACCUUGUUAACAUUUGAAUUGGGUAGUAGGAAUACAUUACGUAGUACAUAUUUUAAAUUCAGUAUGAAAAAAGUGUCGAAAUAAAUCGAUUUAUAGUACUCAAUAUUGUAUUAUGUGCUAUUAUUACAGUGAAAAAUAAGUAUCUAUGUAUCUUUUAAUUGAAUUCCGUUAUGCGUACUGAAUUAAAGAUUUAAAAAAAAUGAACUGGAAUGUGGCAAACCAUAAUAGUGAAUUACAAGUUAGUAAAAACUUUUUAUAUUAAUUAAAAUAUAUUCAUUUUGGCGCGCAAUUUUUGAGUUUCCUUUAUAUGUGUAAAGAUGUGAGUGUAUGAAUUCAGCAUUAUAAAUGAGGCUUUCAAAUUGAAAUAAUUUACAUAUUAUUUUAUAUUAAAAUACCUAUUACCAUUACGAAAACUUGGAUGCAAAUUUUUUAAAUAGACUUAUUUAUCACUUAAGUAUUUAAACUGUAUUCACAAUAAUAUUAUUACUUACGGAUUUAUUCAGAAAAACAAAAAUAAACAUAUAAGUUCUGUUAAAAAAGAAUACUUCUUGUAUAUAAAAUAUAUACAUAACCAGGAUAUCCGGUGCGUAUUCUUCUUAUUUUAUUGUCUUUCAGACAAUAUUAACGCGUUGGACGUUUAAAUAAUAAUAAUAAAGCAAACAAUAUUAUGAACUUUGUCUUGCCGAAAUUUCCAUCCAAAUUUUUAUUGAAAGUGAAUUUAAAACUUAGCAUUUUCUUAGUGUUAAAGUUAUAUAUUAAAGUAAUGGUAAACUUUACAUGUUAUGAAUUAAGUUAUUGAUUUUGUUACGUAUAAAAAUGCGUAGAAACAGAAUAUAUAAUUUAUCAAAAUGGUAUAGUUGGUUUUAUAUGGUGAUUUUAAUCACUAUAUAACAUUUUAUACUUGGACAUGUGUGUUAUAUAACGUGUUACAUGUCUGUUUAAUAUUUCUUGUUAUGUUACAUAUAUGUAAAUGUUAUAUAACAAAUGCUGUAUUUAAUGUUAUAUAGUCUAAAUUCAUCAUAAUAGUUAAAAGUAACAGGCAUUUUGCAUGGCUAUUAGUCGAUGCUCAAUAUAAUAUGAGCACCGAAUUCCUUGCCCGCUUAUAUCAGUCGCGCGGACAAAGAAUGGUUUGAUGGUAACAACGUCGCGGUACAAAUUGUAGGCGCGACUGACGUCAGCGUUCUGUACCUUUGUAUUUAUGUACAAAGUGUAAAAUAUUGUACAUAGAGGCACAGCCUUUAUUUAGAUUAUUAUUUCACGCCUGCUCAAAGAUAUUUUGUUUUAUUUACAGCUUCCUAGCACCAAAAUUGUGAUGACAUUGCGAUUAUGGUAAUUAUUUAGGCCGCAUUCGCACGAGAGCUUUUUUAACGUCCGUUGAAAAAGCGUUCAAAUAGAACAAAUGCAUUCGAAGUAUCUGUUCACACGUCAACGCUUUUUUAACGCUUUCUUUGUAUUAUCAGCGCAACGACGGGUUUUAACGCAACGUUUUUUUAACGCUCGUGCGAAUUAGGGCUUAUUGUCUGAAUUAAGCAAAACUUGUUACAACUAUUUAUUUUAUCCAAUCACUAAAGUGUCAAUAAAUUACAAUUAAUCUGAUGUCAUAGGGUUGCAAAUAACAAUAACAAAAUUUCUUUCGGCAGGUGAAAAAUAAUUGUUUAUUUAUAUUGAAAAUUAAGUUAAUAUUGAAAAGAUGUUGAUCUUGGUUUGAAUGUUAAUGCAAUUGUGGAAUGUAUUUUUCACAGUUAAUAAAAAUAUAUAAAUGAA